UACGGGGGGGGCAAGCGUUGUUCGGAAUUACUGGGCGUAAAGGGCUCGUAGGCGGCCAACUAAGUCAGACGUGAAAUCCCUCGGCUUAACCGGGGAACUGCGUCUGAUACUGGAUGGCUAGAGGUUGGGAGAGGGAUGCGGAAUUCCAGGUGUAGCGGUGAAAUGCGUAGAUAUCUGGAGGAACACCGGUGGCGAAGGCGGAUCUCUGGGCCUUACCUGACGCUGAGGCGCGAAAGCUAGGGGAGCGAACAGG
rnacentral:rRNA from 1 species